AGGACGAACGCUGGCGGCGUGCUUAACACAUGCAAGUCGAGCGGAAAGGCCCUUCGGGGUACUCGAGCGGCGAACGGGUGAGUAACACGUGAGUAAUCUGCCCCUAGCUCUGGGAUAGCUCCGGGAAAACCGGGAUUAAUACCGGAUACGACCACCUUAGACAUCUUUUGUGGUGGAAAGAAUUUCGGCUAGGGAUGAGCUCGCGGCCUAUCAGCUUGUUGGUGGGUAACGGCCUACCAAGGCGACG
rnacentral:rRNA from 1 species